UACGGAGGAUUCAAGCGUUAUCCGGAUUUAUUGGGUUUAAAGGGUGCGUAGGCGGUCGGAUAAGUUAGAGGUGAAAUCCUGAGGCUCAACUUCGGAAUUGCCUCUGAUACUGUUCGGCUAGAGAGUAGUUGCGGUAGGCGGAAUGUAUGGUGUAGCGGUGAAAUGCUUAGAGAUCAUACAGAACACCGAUUGCGAAGGCAGCUUACCAAGCUACUUCUGACGUUGAGGCACGAAAGCGUGGGGAGCAAACAGG
rnacentral:rRNA from 1 species